rfam:Epilithonimonas sp. FH1 contig04, whole genome shotgun sequence.
CCAUAGCCCCGAUUGUAGCGGUUACCCCACAGCAAGCCUUGGGAAAAGCUUUGGCGCGAGGAGUAGUAGCGGAAAGCGGGAUUAAGC